UAUUACCGCGGCUGCUGGCAGAUUAGGUAGUUGGUGAGGUAAAGGCUCACCAAGCCUGCGAUCUGUAGCUGGUCUGAGAGGACGACCAGCCACACUGGGACUGAGACACGGCCCAGACUCCUACGGGAGGCAGCAGUGGGGAAUUUUGGACAAUGGGCGCAAGCCUGAUCCAGCCAUGCCGCGUGCAGGAUGAAGGCCUUCGGGUUGUAAACUGCUUUUGUACGGAACGAAAAGACUCUGGUUAAUACCUGGAGUCCAUGACGGUACCGUAAGAAUAAGCACCGGCUAACUACGUGCCAGCAGCCGCGGUAAU
rnacentral:rRNA from 1 species